UACGGGGGGGGCAAGCGUUGUUCGGAAUUACUGGGCGUAAAGGGCUCGUAGGCGGCCAACUAAGUCAGACGUGAAAUCCCUCGGCUUAACCGGGGAACUGCGUCUGAUACUGGAUGGCUUGAAUCCGGGAGAGGGAUGCGGAAUUCCAGGUGUAGCGGUGAAAUGCGUAGAUAUCGGGAGGAACACCAGUGGCGAAGGCGACUACCUGGCCUGUUCUUGACGCUGAGGCGCGAA
rnacentral:rRNA from 1 species